GAUGAACGCUGGCGGCGUGCUUAACGCAUGCAAGUCGAACGAAGCACUUUAUUUGAUUUCCUUCGGGACUGAUUAUUUUGUGACUGAGUGGCGGACGGGUGAGUAACGCGUGGGUAACCUGCCUUGUACAGGGGGAUAACAGUUGGAAACGGCUGCUAAUACCGCAUAAGCGCACAGCAUCGCAUGAUGCAGUGUGAAAAACUCCGGUGGUAUAAGAUGGACCCGCGUUGGAUUAGCUAGUUGGUGAGGUAACGGCCCACCAAGGCGACGAUCCAUAGCCGACCAGAGAGCGUGCCCGCCGACAUCAGGACUUCGACACGGCCAGAACCUCUACGGCAGGCAGCAGUAGGGAAUAUUGCACAAUGCGCGACAGCCUGAUGCAGCCACGCCGAGUGAGCGAAGACGUAUCUCGGUAUGUAAAGCUCUCUCAGCAGGGAAGAUAAUGACGGCACCUGAGCAAGAAGCACGGGCUAAAUACUUG
rnacentral:rRNA from 1 species